rnacentral:rRNA from 1 species
AGUGAGCGCUGGCGGUAGGCCUAACACAUGCAAGUCGAACGGCAGCACAGUAAGAGCUUGCUCUUACGGGUGGCGAGUGGCGGACGGGUGAGGAAUACAUCGGAAUCUACUUUUUCGUGGGGGAUAACGUAGGGAAACUUACGCUAAUACCGCAUACGACCUACGGGUGAAAGCAGGGGAUCUUCGGACCUUGCGCGAUUGAAUGAGCCGAUGUCGGAUUAGCUAGUUGGCGGGGUAAAGGCCCACCAAGGCGACGAUCCGUAGCUGGUCUGAGAGGAUGAUCAGCCACACUGGAACUGAGACACGGUCCAGACUCCUACGGGAGGCAGCAGUGGGGAAUAUUGGACAAUGGGCGCAAGCCUGAUCCAGCCAUACCGCGUGGGUGAAGAAGGCCUUCGGGUUGUAAAGCCCUUUUGUUGGGAAAGAAAAGCAGCAGGUUAAUACCCCGCUGCUCUGACGGUACCCAAAGAAUAAGCACCGGCUAACUUCGUG